UUAGUGGCAGACGGGUGAGUAAUGCAUAGGAAUCUACCUAGUAGUAUAGGAUAGCCACUAGAAGUGGUGGGUAAUACUGUAUAAUCCCUGCGGGGGAAAGAUUUAUCGCUACAUGAUGAGCCUAUGUUAGAUUAGCUAGUUGGUGGGGUAAUGGCCUACCAAGGCAGUGAUCUAUAGCUGGUCUGAGAGGAUGAUCAGCCACACUGGAACUGAGACACGGUCCAGACUCCUACGGGAGGCAGCAGUGGGGAAUAUUGGACAAUGGGCGCAAGCCUGAUCCAGCUAUGCCGCGUGAGUGAGGAAGGCCUUAGGGUUGUAAAACUCUUUCAGUAGGGAAGAUAAUGACGGUACC
rnacentral:rRNA from 1 species